rnacentral:lncRNA from 1 species
CCUUAAUAACCGGAGAUAGCAAUAAAAGCAUGAAAUUCGGACAUGAGGUUAAAAUUUUCUUCAUUUUCCUCCACUAUAUAACCGAAGUUUUCAUUUACAAAGCAUAUGUCAGGAAAAAACAACUUGAGUAAUUUACUUUAUAGACUUCAAAAAAUGGGCUAAAUCCUAACCUCAAUGUACUGGAUACCUGUACUUUCACCUAACCCAAAACUUCCUACC